UACGGAAGGUCCGGGCGUUAUCCGGAUUUAUUGGGUUUAAAGGGAGCGUAGGCCGGUCUUUAAGCGUGCCGUGAAAUUUUGUGGCUCAACCAUGAGAGUGCGGCGCGAACUGGAGACCUUGAGUGCGCGGAAGGCAGGCGGAAUUCGUGGUGUAGCGGUGAAAUGCUUAGAUAUCACGAAGAACUCCGAUUGCGAAGGCAGCCUGCUGGACUGUAACUGACGCUGAUGCUCGAAAGUGUGGGUAUCAAACAGG
rnacentral:rRNA from 1 species